CCUACGGGGGGCAGCAGUGGGGAAUAUUGCGCAAUGGGCGAAAGCCUGACGCAGCGACGCCGCGUGAGGGAUGAAGGUCUUCGGAUCGUAAACCUCUGUCAGCAGGGAAGAACGGUCACUGUGCUAAUCAGUAGUGAAUUGACGGUACCUGCAAAGGAAGCACCGGCUAACUCCGUGCCAGCAGCCGCGGUAAUACGGAGGGUGCGAGCGUUAAUCGGAAUUACUGGGCGUAAAGCGCUCGCAGGCGGUAUGUCAAGUCAAGGGUGAAAUCCCCGCGCUCAACGGGGGAACUGCCUUUGAAACUGGCAGACUGGAGUGUGUGAGAGGAUAGUGGAAUUCCAGGUGUAGGGGUGAAAUCCGUAGAUAUCUGGAGGAACAUCAGUGGCGAAGGCGACUAUCUGGCACAUAACUGACGCUGAGGAGCGAAAGCGUGGGUAGCAAACAGGAUUAGAUACCCCUGUAGUC
rnacentral:rRNA from 1 species